rnacentral:lncRNA from 10 species
GUCAUAUGGGGCCUCGGGAUAUUCUUCCAUUGCCUGCAAAACUGGACUGUGAAAAUCCAGGGCAGUGGGUCCUCAUGAAUCCAAUUUCCACCAUCAACCCUCUAAAGGGUUCCCCUGUGGAUAAAACAAUUUUUAUAGCCUGUUUGCAGCUGCAGUCACUGAGAUUCAUAAAGAAUCAUAAGCUGGGCUCUAGGAGUUAUCAGCUGGUGUUGUCUGUUUAGAUGAUUAGUGAAUUAAGGGCUUUUUUCUUUGACUUCUACAGGGACCAUACUCCAGUAGGCCAUUAACAGACACUAUUUGGGACUGAUGGCCACAGGUUCUCUGUCUCAGCAGCAAGGACCGCCCCCAACAAAUAGGCAUUGUUCUUGGGUUACUCGCAGGCUGAGUUCUGACCCUGCAGUGUCACUGCAGAGCAGGCAGCUGGCCUUCCCUGGAGGAAGGGCGGGGAAAGGGAAGAUAUCUGAGCUGCUUUGCAGGGCAUCUGCUGCCGUCAUGGAGCCCAGGAAGCAAAGGGCUGCUUUGUGUUUUGGAGGCUACCUGCUUGGGCUCCAGGAAGGUGUUUUGACCAAGGUGACCGGAGCGUGUAGCAGCCUUGGAUAUCUUUGAAGAAGUGGCAAGUAUAUGGCUGAGAGGAGGGGCCCUGGUGCAGGGUGACCUGAUCCAGUCCUGAUGAUGCCGAUUUCUACAUGGGCAACCACCUUUCUGUGCCUCUGUGUUUUCAUCUGGAAAAUGGGGCGGUGAUGCAGUAGUGCCUGUGUUUUGGAGAGUACAUGAUUUAAUACACAUGGAGUACGGGAAACAGCGCCUGGCCUAAAGUGAAUCCAAGGUAAAUAUUUGUUAAGUAAAUCACAAAGCAUUUGUUGUGAAACUUUGGUACUCAAUUUAAUUGAAUUUAUCUUGAAUGGGCUUUUUAGUUGUAUGGGUUGUCCUCAGAUAACAAUGGCCUUGUUUCAUUACACGUGGUCCUGGCUGGGAAGAAAAGACACAACAGUGUGAUAAGAGGGGCCUUGGGGGACCUGACCUGGGCCCUGGGCCAGGGUGAGGAGGUGUUGAGGACACAGGAGAAUUCCCCAAGGAGGUGACAUCCAUCUGAGACCUAAUAGGUGACGAGGCUCCUGGAGGU